UAUCCCCAAGGAUACCUUCACAUGUCCCACCAUCUGAUCUCCACCAAGAGCCUGAAAAGGGGAAGCCACUGGUGUAGUCAGUUGGAGAAGAUGGAUAACCUGUUCCUAAAAAAACAUAUUUGGGUAU